rnacentral:rRNA from 1 species
GCCACAGCCAGAUCACCCUGCAGCCCAAGACCGGUUACUCACUGAAGCUAAGCAGGGCUGAGCCUGGUCAGUACCUGGAUGGGAGACCACAUGGGAACACUAGGUUGCUGUUGGCA